GAUUAACGCUGGCGGCGUGCCUAACGCAUGCAAGUCGAGCGGCAGCGCGUUUUACACUGAAUUCUGGAAGCUUCUAGUUGAAAGAGAAGAUUUAUUCAAGAAUUUUGUGUAAAAUGUCGGCGAGCGGCGGACGGCUGAGUAACGCGUGGGAACGUACCCCAAAGUGAGGGAUAACGCAUCGAAAGGUGUGCUAAUACCGCAUAUGGUCUUCGGAUUAAAGCCUUCGGGCGCUUUGGGAACGGCCUGCGUAAGAUUAGAUAGUUGGUGGGGUAAUGGCCUACCAAGUCGACGAUCUUUAACUGGUUUGAGAGGAUGAUCAGUCAGACUGGAACUGAGACACGGUCCAGACUCCUACGGGAGGCAGCAGUGAGGAAUCUUCCACAAUGGGCGAAAGCCUGAUGGAGCAACGCCGCGUGCAGGAUGAAGGCCUUCGGGUUGUAAACUGCUUUUAUAAGUGAGGAUUAUGACAGUAACUUAUGAAUAAGAAUCGGCUAACUACGUG
rnacentral:rRNA from 1 species